GUUCAGUGGGCCACCAAGGCAGAGGAUAUACCUGCUGGAUACCAGUUAUACCAGUUGUGACUAUUUUUACUUCAUUAUAAAGAUGAGAAAAUAGGGGCUCCAUGUGGUCACACAACUUGCAAGAAACAAAGGAUAAAUCAAACCAGGAUGGGAGGAUGGAGGAGAAAGCUGAAUACAAAACAAGGGCCACUGGGCCAAGAAAAGAAGAAUGGACUUGUUUCUGGACUCUGUGACCUGCUCCCCAGGGCCAGGCAUGGUAUGGUGGAUGGGCAGUCAGGAAAAUCAGGUGCAAGUCCCAUCCCUGCCAGGAGUUUCUCGCUAAGGUAGUUAACUUUUCUGAGCCUCAAUUUCCCCAUCUGUAAAACUGUGAGGGUCUUGGGUUAGAAGACGCUACGGAAACUGGCUGACAACUUCCCACCAAUAUCUGAGAAAAAAAUGGCCACCCAAGCCCUGAGUCCUCCACUUAUGGCCGAUUCUCCUCGCCCAGCUCUUUCUGGAGAGGUUUGGGGA
rnacentral:lncRNA from 1 species